AGUGGCGCACGGGUGCGUAACGCGUGGGGAUCUACCAUAGGGUGCGGAAUAACUCAGAGAAAUUUGAGCUAAUACCGCAUAAUGUCUUCGGACCAAAGAUUUAUCGCCCUUUGAUGAACCCGCGUAAGAUUAGCUUGUUGGUGAGGUAAAGGCUCACCAAGGCGACGAUCUUUAGCUGGUCUGAGAGGAUGAUCAGCCACACUGGGACUGAGACACGGCCCAGACUCCUACGGGAGGCAGCAGUGGGGAAUAUUGGACAAUGGGCGAAAGCCUGAUCCAGCAAUGCCGCGUGAGUGAUGAAGGCCUUAGGGUUGUAAAGCUCUUUUACCAGGGAUGAUAAUGACAGUACCUGGAGAAUAAGCUCCGGCUAACUCCGUGCCAGCAGCCGCGGUAAUACGGAGGGAGCUAGCGUUGUUCGGAAUUACUGGGCGUAAAGCGCGCGUAGGCGGUUACUCAAGUCAGAGGUGAAAGCCCGGAGCUCAACUCCGGAACUGCCUUUGAAACUAGGUGACUAGAAUCUUGGAGAGGCGAGUGGAAUUCCGAGUGUAGAGGUGAAAUUCGUAGAUAUUCGGAAGAACACCAGUGGCGAAAGCGACUCGCUGGACAAGUAUUGACGCUGAGUGCGAAAGCGUGGGGAGCAACAGAAUAAGAUACCCUGGUAGUCCACGCCA
rnacentral:rRNA from 1 species